CCAUGCUUGGCUGUUUCUUUCCACAGUUGAAGAAGCGCGAAAAUGAUGCUGGCCGAUGUAAAGGCGGCACAAACAUCGGACAUGAGGGGGUUAUCCAAGAGCAUAGUGGCCAACGCCGCCGGCGACUUAGGCGUUUACAAAGCAGCCAAAGGCGGAGAGGGAAAAGACAUUUACUUGGUCGAAGAUGCGUCGUUUUGCUGUUUCUUGCCAGAUGCGGAGUAGCGAGAGAGCAAUAG